GGCCUAACACAUGCAAGUCGAGCGGGCGUAGCAAUACGUCAGCGGCAGACGGGUGAGUAACACGUGGGAACGUACCUUUUGGUUCGGAACAACACAGGGAAACUUGUGCUAAUACCGGAUAAGCCCUUACGGGGAAAGAUUUAUCGCCGAAAGAUCGGCCCGCGUCUGAUUAGCUUGUUGGUGAGGUAACGGCUCACCAAGGCGACGAUCAGUAGCUGGUCUGAGAGGAUGAUCAGCCACACUGGGACUGAGACACGGCCCAGACUCCUACGGGAGGCAGCAGUGGGGAAUAUUGGACAAUGGGCGCAAGCCUGAUCCAGCCAUGCCGCGUGAGUGAUGAAGGCCCUAGGGUUGUAAAGCUCUUUUGUGCGGGAAGAUAAUGACGGUACCGCAAGAAUAAGCCCCGGCUAACUUCGUGCCAGCAGCCGCGGUAAUACGAAGGGGGCUAGC
rnacentral:rRNA from 1 species